CGUAGAGAUUUGUAAAGGCCCAUUACCCUGAAAGAGCUCUGCAGGAAGAGGGAGCUGGGAUACAGUUACCAGACAUUGGGCUUCUACUGUGAGAAACAUACGGGGAAUGGCAACAGUAGCACCACCAACUUUUGUGGGGGUCACCUCAUCCUCUAGAUGGAAGGCUACAACCAAACCAGAACUACUGUUUUGGUAGCCUCCGUAUAGGCGAUUCCCUCCAUCGCGACACUGCUGCCCAGUUGAAGAGCUUGUGAUCUCCAUGUAGCACCACAGCACCAUGCGCCUUCGGAAAAGCACCCCUCAGCCUCAGAUGUCUUUCUGGAGGCAUGCAGCCAUAUAGAGCCAUUAUACCCUAAUGUGGGUCUAUUUGCCUACGAGCCAAAUAAA